GGGGGUAUAGCUCAGAGAUAGAGCACUGGACUGCAGAGCAAGAGGCCCCCAGUUCAAUUCCAAAUAUCCCCU
rnacentral:tRNA from 1 species